rnacentral:rRNA from 1 species
GAGUUUGAUCCUGGCUCAGGAUGAACGCUGGCGGCGUGCUUUACACAUGCAAGUCGAACGGGCUCAUAUUGAAACCUAGUGAUGUAUGAGUUAGUGGCGGACGGGUGAGUAACGCGUGGAGAACCUGCCGUAUACUGGGGGAUAACACUUAGAAAUAGGUGCUAAUACCGCAUAAGCGCACAGCUUCGCAUGAAGCAGUGUGAAAAACUCCGGUGGUAUACGAUGGAUCCGCGUCUGAUUAGCUGGUUGGCGGGGUAACAGCCCACCAAGGCGACGAUCAGUAGCCGGCCUGAGAGGGUGAACGGCCACAUUGGGACUGAGACACGGCCCAAACUCCUACGGGAGGCAGCAGUGGGGAAUAUUGCACAAUGGGGGAAACCCUGAUGCAGCGACGCCGCGUGAGUGAAGAAGUAUUUCGGUAUGUAAAGCUCUAUCAGCAGGGAAGAAAUACUGACCUUACGGUCAGCAGACGGUACCUGACUAAGAAGCCCCGGCUAACUACGUGCCAGCAGCCGCGGUAAUACGUAGGGGGCAAGCGUUAUCCGGAUUUACUGGGUGUAAAGGGAGCGU